rnacentral:tRNA from 69 species
GGGCGCUUAGCUCAGUUGGUAGAGCGGAUCCCUUACAAGGAUUAGGUCGGGAGUUCGAGCCUCUCAGCGCCCACCA